rnacentral:misc_RNA from 1 species
GAUGAAGAACGUAGCGAAAUGCGAUAAGUAAUGUGAAUUGCAGAAUUCAGUGAAUCAUCGAAUCUUUGAACGCAUCUUGCGCUCCUUGGUAUUCUGAGGAGCAUGCCUGUUUGAGUGUCAUUAAAUUCUCAACCGCACUGACUUUGAAUUGGUGUGGCUUGGAUUUGGGGGGAAAAUUGUUGUGGGCUUUUUUGUAUAGUCUGCUCCCCUGAAAUUGAUUAGCGGUACCUUUGUGGAACUGUCUACAGGUGUGAUAAUUAUCUACAUCCUAGACAUCUGCUGGAAUGCUGCUUUCUAAACCUUACUUGUAUUGACAAACUUGACCUCAAAUCAGGUAGGACUACCCGCUGAACUUAAGCAUAUCAAUAAGCGGAGGA